GAGAGCAAACGCUGUGGGCCUGACUUGGA
rnacentral:piRNA from 1 species